rnacentral:rRNA from 1 species
UUCCUACGGGGCGCAGCAGUGGGGAAUAUUGCACAAUGGGGGGAACCCUGAUGCAGCGACGCCGCGUGGGUGAAGAAGUCAUUCGUGACGUAAAGCCCUAUCAGCAGGGAAGAAAAUGACGGUACCUGACUAAGAAGCCCCGGCUAACUACGUGCCAGCAGCCGCGGUAAUACGUAGGGGGCAAGCGUUAUCCGGAUUUACUGGGUGUAAAGGGAGCGUAGACGGCGGCGCAAGUCCGGAGUGAAAGCCCGGGGCUCAACCCUGGGACUGCUCUGGAAACUGUAAAGCUGGAGUGCGGGAGGGGG